rnacentral:lncRNA from 1 species
GCACAUUACAACCCAAAAAUUCGGUCACUAUACUGUAUUUUUUAAAUAUAUAUUAUUUUUAUUCCAUAAUAUGUGCGUGUAUACGUGUGUUAAACAUGAAAAACACGUACGUACAUGUAUAAUACGUAACCUUCGAGGUCUCUAAAUGUAUUCAUUAAGCCCUUCAAGACCUUAAUUAAAGUAAUUCAAGGGCUUCAAAUAUAUUUAAAAAAAUUGAACUUCAAGUACUUACUAAUUCAAGUAAUUCAAAAAGGCUAAGAUAUAAAUUAAUUACAUAUAUGAAAUUAAAGAAGUUGGCAACAAAAAUCAAAAGUAAAGAAACUGAUUUUAUAUUUUCAAAAUUCGCUACGUUAGCAGGGUACAGCCGCGCGGCUAUACUAUUUAAAAAAAAUUAAGAAAAUCUAGUAUAGCCGGGCGGCUAUACUAUUUACAUACACAAUAGGGAUCCAGCCAGCACCUAGGCGCCACGUGUCAAACCAUGCGGCCGUACUGUUCUGAACAUUUUUUAAAAAACAAAAAGGGGUUAAAACCGAGUAUAGCCGCGCGGCUAUACUAUUUCAAAAAAAAAAUUUUAAAAAUCUAUUAUAGCCGGGCGGCUGUACUAUUUAUAUACAUAAUAGGGAUCCAGCCAGCACCUAGGCGCGACGUGUCAAACCAUGCGGCCGUACUGUUCUGAACAUUUAUAAAAAAAAAAAAAAAAAAAAAAGGGUUUAAAAGCGAGUAUAGCCGCGCGGCUAUACUAUUUUUUAAAAAAAUUUAAAAAUCUAUUAUAGCCGGGCGGCUGUACUAUUUAUAUACAUAAUAGGGAUCCAGCCAGCACCUAGGCGCCCCGUGUCAAACCAUGCGGCCGUACUGUUCUGAACAUUUUAAAAAAAACAAAAAAAGGGGUUAAAACCGAGUAUAGCCGCGCGGCUAUACUAUUUCAAAAAAAAAAAUUUAAAAAUCUAUUAUAGCCGGGCGACUGUACUAUUUAUAUACAUAAUAGGGAUCCAGCCAGCACCUAGGCGCCACGUGUCAAACCAUGCGGCCGUACUGUUCUGAACAUUUAUAAAAAAAAAAAAAAAAAAAAAAAAGGGUUUAAAAGCGAGUAUAGCCGCGCGGCUAUACUAUUUUUAAAAAAAAUUUAAAAAUCUAUUAUAGCCGGGCGGCUGUACUAUUUAUAUACAUAAUAGGGAUCCAGCCAGCACCUAGGCGCCACGUGUCAAACCUUGCGGCUGUACAGUUCUGAACAUUUUUUUUUUCAAAAAAAAAAAGGGGUUAAAAGCGAGUAUAGCCGCUCGGCUAUACUAUUUUAAAAAAAAUUUAAAAAAUCUAGCCAGCACCUAGGCGCCACGUGUCAAACCAUGCGGCUGUACUGUUUUUAAAAUCUGGAAAAAAAAGGGUUUAAAGCGCGUAUAGCCGUGCGGCUAUACUAUUUUUAUAUUUUAAAAAGGGUCAAUAAUGUUUUUUAAGAAAAAAAAAAGGUUAUUUUUAGUAAUUAAACAAUCUCUUAGCCUGAUUUAAUUACUUGAAUUAUGAAUUAGGUCCUACCUAUUAUUUAUCUAGUGAAUAAUUGAUAUUAAAUAUUUUAAUUAACUUCAUAAAUGAUAUUACUUAAUAUAUAUCUUGCAUUUUUGUUAGAACAAGUGAGCUCUCACAUUCAUUCAUAGUUAGUAAAAUACGGAAGGGAAAAAAAUGCGAAUUAAAUACGUAUGUGUUUGAUUCGGCAAUAUCUUGGCACAUUACAACCCAAAAAUUCGGUCACUAUACUGUAUUUUUUAAAUAUAUAUUAUUUUUAUUCCAUAAUAUGUGCGUGUAUACGUGUGUUAAACAUGAAAAACACGUACGUACAUGUAUAAUACGUAACCUUCGAGGUCUCUAAAUGUAUUCAUUAAGCCCUUCAAGACCUUAAUUAAAGUAAUUCAAGGGCUUCAAAUAUAUUUAAAAAAAUUGAACUUCAAGUACUUACUAAUUCAAGUAAUUCAAAAAGGCUAAGAUAUAAAUUAAUUACAUAUAUGAAAUUAAAGAAGUUGGCAACAAAAAUCAAAAGUAAAGAAACUGAUUUUAUAUUUUCAAAAUUCGCUACGUUAGCAGGGUACAGCCGCGCGGCUAUACUAUUUAAAAAAAAUUAAGAAAAUCUAGUAUAGCCGGGCGGCUAUACUAUUUAUAUACAUAAUAGGGAUCCAGCCAGCACCUAGGCGCCCCGUGUCAAACCAUGCGGCCGUACUGUUCUGAACAUUUUAAAAAAACAAAAAAAAGGGGUUAAAACCGAGUAUAGCCGCGCGGCUAUACUAUUUCAAAAAAAAAAAUUUAAAAAUCUAUUAUAGCCGGGCGGCUGUACUAUUUAUAUACAUAAUAGGGAUCCAGCCAGCACCUAGGCGCCACGUGUCAAACCAGGCGGCCGUACUGUUCUGAACAUUUAAAAAAAAAAAAAAAAAGGGGUGAAAAGCGAGUAUAGCCGCGCGGCUAUACUAUUUCAAAAAAAAAUUUUAAAAAUCUAUUACACCCGGGCGGCUGUACUAUUUAUAUACAUAAUAGGGAUCCAGCCAGCACCUAGGCGCCACGUGUCAAACCAUGCGGCCUUACUGUUCUGAACAUUUAAAAAAAAAAAAAAAAAAAGGGUUUAAAAGCGAGUAUAGCCGCGCGGCUAUACUAUUUUUAAAAAAAAUUUAAAAAUCUAUUAUAGCCGGGCGGCUGUACUAUUUAUAUACAUAAUAGGGAUCCAGCCAGCACCCAGGCGCCACGUGUCAAACCUUGCGGCUGUACAGUUCUGAACAUUUUUUUUUUGAAGCGAGUAUAGCCGCUCGGCUAUACUAUUUUUAAAAAAAUUAAAAAAAUCUAGCCAGCACCUAGGCGCCACGUGUCAAACCAUGCGGCUGUACUGUUUUUAAAAUCUGGAAAAAAAAGGGUUUAAAGCGAGUAUAGCCGUGCGGCUAUACGAUUUUUAUAUUUUAAAAAGGGUCAAUAAUGUUUUUUAAGAAAAAAAAAAGGUUAUUUUUUGUAAUUAAACAAUCUCUUAGCCUGAUUUAAUUACUUGAAUUAUGAAUUAGGUCCUACCUAUUAUUUAUCUAGUGAAUAAUUGAUAUUAAAUAUUUUAAUUAACUUCAUAAAUGAUAUUACUUAAUAUAUAUCUUGCAUUUUUGUUAGAACAAGUGAGCUCUCACAUUCAUUCAUAGUUAGUAAAAUACGGAAGGGAAAAAAAUGCGAAUUAAAUACGUAUGUGUUUGAUUCGGCAAUAUCUUGGCACAUUACAACCCAAAAAUUCGGUCACUAUACUGUAUUUUUUAAAUAUAUAUUAUUUUUAUUCCAUAAUAUGUGCGUGUAUACGUGUGUUAAACAUGAAAAACACGUACGUACAUGUAUAAUACGUAACCUUCGAGGUCUCUAAAUGUAUUCAUUAAGCCCUUCAAGACCUUAAUUAAAGUAAUUCAAGGGCUUCAAAUAUAUUUUAAAAAAUUGAACUUCAAGUACUUACUAAUUCAAGUAAUUCAAAAAGGCUAAGAUAUAAAUUAAUUACAUAUAUGAAAUUAAAGAAGUUGGCAACAAAAAUCAAAAGUAAAGAAACUGAUUUUAUAUUUUCAAAAGUCGCUAGGUUAGCAGGGUACAGCCACGCGGGUAUACUAUAGGGAUCCAGCCAGCACCUUGGCGCCACGUGUCAAACCAUGCGGCCGUACUGUUCUGAACAUUUAAAAAAAAAGGGUUAAAAGCGCGUAUAGCCGCGCGGCUAUACUAUUUAAAAAAAAUUAAGAAAAUCUAGUAUAGCCGGGCGGCUGUACUAUUUAUAUACAUAAUAGGGAUCCAGCCAGCACCUAGGCGCCACGUGUCAAACCAGGCGGCCGUACUGUUCUGAACAUUUAAAAAAAAAAAAAAAGGGGUUAAAAGCGAGUAUAGCCGCGCGGCUAUACUAUUUCAAAAAAAAAUUUUAAAAAUCUAUUAUAGCCGGGCGGCUGUACUAUUUAUAUACAUAAUAGGGAUCCAGCCAGCACCUAGGCGCCACGUGUCAAACCAUGCGGCCGUACUGUUCUGAACAUUUUUUUAAAAAAAAAAAAGGGGUUAGAAGCGAGUAUAGCCGCGCGGCUCUACUAUUUAAAAAAAAAUUUAAGAAAAUCUAGUAUUGCCGGGCGGCUAUACUAUUUAUAUACAUAAUAGGGAUCCAGCCAGCACCUUGGCGCCACGUGUCAAACCAUGCGGCCGUACUGUUCUGAACAUUUAAAAAAAAGGGUUAAAAGCGAGUAUAGCCGCGCGGCUGUACUAUUUAAAAAAAAAUUUAAAAAUCUAUUAUAGCCGGGCGGCUGUACUAUUUAUAUACAUAAUAGGGAUCCAGCCAGCACCUAGGCGCCACGUGUCAAACCAUGCGGCCGUACUGUUCUGAACAUUUAAAAAAAAAAAAAGGGGGUUAAAAGCGAGUAUGGCCGCGCGGCUAUACUAUUUUUUAAAAAAAUUUAAAAACCUAUUAUAGCCGGGCGGCUGUACUAUUUAUAUGCAUAAUAGGGAUCCAGCCAACACCUAGGCGCCACGUGUCAAACCUUGCGGCUGUACAGUUCUGAACAUUUUUUUUUCAAAAAAUAAAAAGGGUCAAAAGCGAGUAUAGCCGCGCGGCUAUACUAUUGUAAAAAAAAUUAAAAAAAUCUAGCCAGCACCUAGGCGCCACGUGUCAAACCAUGCGGCUGUACUGUUUUUAAAAUCUGAAAAAAAAGGGGUUAAAAGCGAGUAUAGCCGUGCGGCUAAACUAUUUUUAUAUUUUACAAAGGGUCAAUAAUGUUUUUUUUUUAAAAAAGGUUAUUUUUAGUAAUUAAACAGUAUCUUAGCCUGAUUUAAUUACUUGAAUUAUGAAUUAGGUCCUAACUAUUAUUUAUCUAGUGAAUAAUUGAUAUUAAAUAUUUUAAUUAACUUCAUAAAUAAUAUUCCUUAAUAUAUAUCUUGCAUUUUUGUUAGAACAAGUGAGCUCUCACAUUCAUUCAUAGUUAGUAAAAUACGGAAGGGAAAAAAAUGCGAAUUAAAUACGUAUGUGUUUGAUUCGGCAAUAUCUUGGCACACUACAACUUAAAAGUUCGGCCACUAUACUCUAUUUUUUAAAUAUAUAUUAUUUUUAUUCCAUAAUAUGUGCGUGUAUACGUGUGCUAAACAUGAAAAACACGUACGUACAUGUAUAAUUCGUAACCUUCGAGGUCUCUAAAUGUAUUCAUUAAGCCCUUCAAGACCUUAAUUAAAGUAAUUCAAGGGCUUCAAAUAUAUUUAAAAAAAUUGAACAUCAAGUACUUACUAAUUAAAGUAAUUCAAAAAGGCUAAGAUAUAAAUUAAUUACAUAUAUGAGAUUAAAGAAGUUGGCAAAAAAAAUCAAAAGUAAAGAAACUGAUUUUAUAUUUUCAAAAUUCGCUAGGUUAGCAGGGUACAGCCGCGCUGCUAUACUAUUUUAAAAAAAAAUUAAGAAAAUCUAGUAUAGCCGGGCGGCUAUACUAUUUAUAUACAUAAUAGGGAUCCAGCCAGCACCUAGGCGCCACGUGUCAAACCAUGCGGCCGUACUGUUCUGAACAUUUAAAAAAAAAGGGGUUAAAAGCGAGUAUAGCCGCGCGGCUAUACUAUUUUAAAAAAAAAAUUUAAAAAUCUAUUAUAGCCGGGCGGCUGUACUAUUUAUAUACAUAAUAGGGAUCCAGCCAGCACCUAGGCGCCACGUGUCAAACCAUGCGGCCGUACUGUUCUGA